rnacentral:piRNA from 1 species
UGGGUGUGAGACUGUCGAUAGGCUGG